rnacentral:rRNA from 1 species
UACGAAGGGGGGCUAGCGUUGCUCGGAAUCACUGGGCGUAAAGGGUGCGUAGGCGGGUCUUUUAAGUCAGGGGUGAAAUCCUGGAGCUCAACUCCAGAACUGCCUUUGAUACUGGCGAUCUUGAGUCCGGGAGAGGUGAGUGGAACUCCGAGUGUAGAGGUGAAAUUCGUAGAUAUUCGGAAGAACACCAGUGGCGAAGGCGGCUCACUGGCCCGAUACUGACGCUGAGGCACGAAAGCGUGGGGAGCAAACAGG